rnacentral:tRNA from 1 species
GAGGGUAUAGUUCAAGUGGUAGAGCGCACGCUUAGCAUGCAUGAGGUCCUGGGUUCAAUCCCUAUUACCACCA